GUCAGUGGAAGCUGGGGUGUCGGCGGGCGGCCGCGGCCGGGUCUAGCGGUGCCUGCGGAAGAAGGAGGAGGAGGGCUGGCGAUGAGAAGCAGCAGGGGGAAUCAAGGGCAAGAAGGGACCCAGAGGGGCAGGUGGCUGAGAUGCUGGCGUCCAGGUGACCCGAGGAAUCCUCUGGAGAUACAGGCCCGCGCAUGCGCGUGCUCGAGCGCUGAAGCCCAUUGCCCGCAGGGCGCUGGACUGGCGCCCCGGCCGGCGAGGCUGUCUAGUCCAGGCUCCAGGCCCCGGCUCUGGCCAGGCGCCGCCGCCUCCCGGUGCAGCUGAAAGUCGACGAAGAGGGCGGGGCGGGGGCGGCUUGUGGACUUCCACACUUUUCCUCUCUUCGGGCCAGUCUGGGGAGAGGGUGGCUAGCUGUGGCGGCGGCCAAUUACGUGGCGGACCUGCGGGGCUAAGCUGGCACGUCACUUCCGACUAGUGGAGUUUUUAGCCUUUUAACAUUCAAGGAUUAGAGCUCCCUCUUUGCCCACUAGCAGGGCAUUAGCUGGUGCUGAAGACAGUGGCUGCUUGGCGAGCCUGGAUCUCCAAGUGACCCCCUCAGCAACUCCUGAUGAACAGGACUGAAGCCAAUAUUAAAGCAAGUCAACCAAAGGUUCUCUGGUGUAGACAAGACAGCAAAAGGACAGACUACCUUGUGGAACCUAGCAUUGUUCUCCUUCUGCAGCACUAAGUAACAUUUGUUCUCCGUUAAGAUCUUUGCAAACCACACACAAGAAUUGCUGGUCAUCCUGCCAAUAGAUGCUGCUCACAGAACCAAAUUUCCUGUGCUGAAUUGUCACUCAUGGGCUUGAGAGUAGGAGACUGGAGACCAAGGUGGCUAGAAUCCAGUUGGGCCUGAUGUCUCCCUGUUGAAAGGGCUCCUUGUGGAAUGAAUAGCACAUGGCUCCUGUGGUGGAUCUGAUAGUGGCAUAGCACCAAGUGAUGCAGGCCUGCCAGGGGCCACAGACACAGAAGAUGCUCCCGGGGUCCCCCAUGUACUCCAGACACACUGCAGGCCACCUCUCCCAGCAGGUUGCCAGUCAUGGGCCCCAUCAUCAUGACUUCUGUCCAAGGCAAUCAGGAAAUGAUUCCUUUCCCGACUGCUUCUGUCUAGUGCCUGGGAAUCUUGAGUCAAUCCCUCAGUAAGUCAGUGACUAGGGAAAUCCCUCUCUGAGCCUCCCAGUUCAUGUUGCUUAGGGAACCUGAUAUUUUCGUGAAACCUGCCUACACAUGGGCAGCCCAACAGCAGAACAAAUGGUGGUGACCAAAGUGAACAAAGAAGUAUAGUUGUGCCAGCUUCGUAGUUGCCCAUGUGGACAAGUCAGCAGGAUCAGGACACGAGGAAGAGUAAAUGUGAGACAGUCAAUGUGACUUCUGCGAUAAACAGAUUUUUAAACCCCGAAAUUUUGCAAAAUUUUGGUGAAACCUGAACUUUCUUCGUUGCAUAUACUGGCACUAUCUGUACCAUCAUACAACUGUCUCACAUUAAAGCUAUUUUUCUUGGGCA
rnacentral:lncRNA from 1 species